GCGUCGGUGGUCUAGGGGUAUGAUUAUCGCUUUAGGUGCGAGAGGUCCUGUUCAAAUCCGGCCGAGCCC